AGCAGACAAUGACUUUUUCUCACUGUGCUCUGCGAAUGCCCCUGUGGCCAGUGCCAAUAAUGCCAAUGGCUCAGCUGAUGCCAAGAG